AGUGAACGCUGGCGGUAGGCCUAACACAUGCAAGUCGAACGGCAGCACAGUAAGAGCUUGCUCUUACGGGUGGCGAGUGGCGGACGGGUGAGGAAUACAUCGGAAUCUACUUUUUCGUGGGGGAUAACGUAGGGAAACUUACGCUAAUACAGCAUACGACCUACGGGUGAAAGCAGGGGAUCUUCGGACCUUGCGCGAUUGAAUGAGCCGCUGUCGGAUUAGCUAGUUGGCGGGGUAAAGGCCCACCAAGGCGACGAUCCGUAGCUGGUCUGAGAGGAUGAUCAGCCACACUGGAACUGAGACACGGUCCAUACUCCUACGGGAGGCAGCAGUGGGGAAUAUUGGACAAUGGGCGCAAGCCUGAUCCAGCCAUACCGCGUGGGUGAAGAAGGCCUUCGGGUUGUAAAGCCCUUUUGUUGGGAAAGAAAAGCAGCAGGUUAAUACCCCGCUGUUCUGACGGUACCCAAAGAAUAAGCACCGGCUAACUUCGUG
rnacentral:rRNA from 1 species